rnacentral:rRNA from 1 species
UACAGAGGUCUCGAGCGUUAGGCGGAAUCACUGGGCUUAAAGCGUGUGUAGGUGGAUGCCUAAGUACCUUGUGAAAACCCGGGGCUCAACCCCGGGCCUGCAGUCGAUACGGGCGGACUAGAGUUCGGCAGGGGAGACUGGAAUUCCUGGUGUAGCGGUGAAAUGCGCAGAUAUCAGGAGGAAAACCGGUGGCGGAAGCGGGUCUCUGGGCCGAUACUGACGCUGAGGAGCGAAAGCGUGGGGAGCGAACAGG